AGGCAGCAGUGGGGAAUUUUGCGCAAUGGGCGAAAGCCUGACGCAGCGACGCCGCGUGCGGGAUGAAGGCUCUCGGGUCGUAAACCGCUGUCGUGAGGGACGAACAACCUUAGGAUGAAUAAGCCUAGGGCCUGACGGUACCUCAUGAGAAAGCCCCGGCUAACUACGUGCCAGCAGCCGCGGUAAUACGUAGGGGGCAAGCGUUGUUCGGAAUUACUGGGCGUAAAGGGUCCGCAGGCGGCCAUGCAAGUUGAGGGUGAAAUCCCCGAGCUCAACUCGGGAAUUGCCUUCAAAACUGCGUGGCUUGAGUUCGGUAGAGGGAGAUGGAAUUCUCGGUGUAGCGGUGAAAUGCGUAGAUAUCGAGAGGAACACCAGCGGCGAAGGCGAUCUCCUGGGCCGAUACUGACGCUGAGGGACGAAAGCAUGGGGAGCAAACAGGAUUAGAUACCCUGGUAGUCCAUGCCAUAAACGUUGGGCACUUGGUGUUCCGAGCCUUGAGCUUGGAGUGCCGUAGCUAACGCGUUAAGUGCCCCGCCUGGGGAGUACGACCGCAAGGUUGAAACUCAAAGGAAUUGACGG
rnacentral:rRNA from 1 species